rnacentral:Y_RNA from 1 species
ACCUAGUCUGAUAACAGUAAGUUAUCAGAACUUAUAUUAGUGUCACUAACAUUGGUAUAUAACCCCACUGCUAAAUUUGACUGAGUUAAA